rnacentral:rRNA from 1 species
CGGAACACGUACAGAACCUUCCUUUAAGCGGGGAUAGCCCAUAGAAAUGUGGAUUAAUACCCCAUAGUAAUGCUGGUUGGCAUCAACUGGCAUUUAAAGAUUUAUCACUUAAAGAUGGCUGUGCGGCUGAUUAGGUAGUUGGUGUGGGUAACGGCCCACCAAGCCAGCGAUCAGUAACUGGUGUGAGAGCACGACCAGUCACACGGGCACUGAGACACGGGCCCG